rnacentral:rRNA from 1 species
UACGGGGGGGGGCAAGCGUUGUUCGGAAUUACUGGGCGUAAAGGGCGCGUAGGCGGCCCGCUAAGUCGAACGUGAAAUCCCCGAGCUCAACUCGGGAACUGCGUCCGAUACUGGCGGGCUUGAAUCCGGGAGAGGGAUGCGGAAUUCCAGGUGUAGAGGUGAAAUUCGUAGAUAUUAGGAAGAACACCGGUGGCGAAGGCGGCCCACUGGUCCGGUACUGACGCUGAGGUGCGAAAGCGUGGGGAGCAAACAGG